AAUUUACGGACAUGAUAAACAUUGCCCAGACUAUAUUAGUACCAACAAACUUAACAGCAUGAAACGAUUACUGAACAUGAAGACGACCGAGGACGUUGAAGAUAUUCUGUAUGGUCUGGGAUAUCCCAAGAGGACUACAACAUCCGGUGACGUCUAUAUACCUGAUUUACCAGACCCUAAGGUUCAUAUUCCAGAUAUUCCUGUAAUUGUGACAUGUGCGUCGUCUAAUCAUUUCAAGGAGAUGCAAGCUAUGAUGCAUAAUAUUGAUACUGUUAUAAGACCAGUUUAUCCUGAUAUAAAAGUUAUUUUAUACGAUAUAGGAUUUACAGAACGAGAAAGACAAGUGAUAAUUAAAUAUGGAAGAUGUGAAUUGAGGAAGUUUAACUUUACUAAAUAUCCAGAUCACAUAAAAUAUCUUCAUACUUGUGCCUGGAAACCCAUCAUUAUACAGGAAGUGUUAAAUCAACAUGGGUUUGCAAUGUACAUGGAUGCUUCAAUUCGCUUAACGAGUGGAGAUCUGAACCGUGUCUUCAAUCAAGUGAAACGAUCUGGCAUCAGCUAUAUCUAUAAUCCCUUUUACAAUAAUUUAAUUCCAAAUCACACAUUCAGUAAAACAUUUGAAUAUUUUAAUACAAAGCCCUGUUUAUUUCACGGUUUAAGCGAACUUCAGGCAGGAUUUAAUAUUGUUGUGAAAAAUAACUUAUACGCCUACACUAUAAUGAGGUCGUGGUUGACAUGCUGUCUUCAGAGAUAUUGUGUAAUGCCGAAGGGAGCCGAGGGGAGAACCUCCUGUUCUGGAUUAAAAAGAUACCAUCAAUGUCAUCGCAACGAUCAGUCAGCUCUGAGCAUUUCUGUUUAUAUGACAAAUCAGAUUCAGUUGGAUCACUUGGCAUUCCAAACGAAUUAUUUUCAAUAAGACGUGGGCAUCAGAUGAAUUACUUUCACUAAUUAAAAUUCAGUGUGGGCGACCUUGCUAUUAUUCUGGAUGUAUCUCAUGAUAUGAGUAGGGUGGCAUUAAGUUAUAAGGUCUGCCAUUAAGUCAGGUGGUUCAGUUUGGUUUCCCAAAUUGUGCAGCGUGGUUACAUGACCAAUGUGUGGGUUUGAUUUCGAGUCCUCAGGGUUACGCAUGGUUGUGGGUCCAUUUUUCUUUUCUCUUCUUUGUCUCUCUUACAAUUGCACUAUUAUAACUGUCAAUUAGAAUUUAUGUAAAGAAGGUAUCGAAAGGUCCUUUUGAACUGUAUUUAUGU